GGGGAUGUAAAGGUUUCGACGGGGAUUUCAAACCUUGGUAAGCGAGCGGCGGUGCGGAACCGCCAUAAAAUCCGCAACUUUAAAAUUAACUGACAACAAAACAGUUGCUUUAGCAGCCUGAGUGCUGCUCGUUCCUGCACAGAGUACCUCGGCUGUGUAAGGGGCGUCGAUUAGAGGUAAAUGUGAACAGGGGAGCGCUCCGAACCCUGUCACAGCUUAGGAGCUGCCAAAGUGCAUAGCCUGUUGAUGGGCGAUGCACCGAGGGAGAUUUAAAACACCAACUGCGCUCGGAGAAACCCUUGGCAAGAAUUUUUCGGACAGGGGUUCGAUUCCCCUCAUCUCCACCA
rnacentral:tmRNA from 1 species